AGUGAACGCUGGCGGUAGGCCUAACACAUGCAAGUCGAACGGCAGCACAGUAAGAGCUUGCUCUUACGGGUGGCGAGUGGCGGACGGGUGAGGAAUACAUCGGAAUCUACUUUUUCGUGGGGGAUAACGUAGGGAAACUUACACUAAUACCGCAUACGACCUACGGGUGAAAGCAGGGGAUCUUCGGACCUUGCGCGAUUGCAUGAGCCGAUGUCGGAUUAGCUAGUUGGCGGGGUAAAGGCCCACCAAGGCGACGAUCCGUAGCUGGUCUGAGAGGAUGAUCAGCCACACUGGAACUGAGACACGGUCCAGACUCCUACGGGAGGCAGCAGUGGGGAAUAUUGGACAAUGGGCGCAAGCCUGAUCCAGCCAUACCGCGUGGGUGAAGAAGGCCUUCGGGUUGUAAAGCCCUUUUGUUGGGAAAGAAAAGCAGCAGGUUAAUACCCCGCUGUUCUGACGGUACCCAAAGAAUAAGCACCGGCUAACUUCGUG
rnacentral:rRNA from 1 species